rnacentral:misc_RNA from 1 species
GAUGAAGAACGCAGCGAAAUGCGAUAAGUAAUGUGAAUUGCAGAAUUCAGUGAAUCAUCGAAUCUUUGAACGCACAUUGCGCCCGCCAGUACUCUGGCGGGCAUGCCUGUCUGAGCGUCAUUUCAACCCUCGCGCCCGGCUUCUGUCGGGGGCGGUGUUGGGGAUCGGCCUCCCGUCUUCCGGGCGGCCGGCCCCUAAAUGGAGUGGCGACCGCGCCGUAGCCUCCUCUGCGUAGUAGUGAAACACUCGCGGGCGGAGAGCGGUGCGGCCCGCCGUAAAACCCCCAACUCUUCUAAGGUUGACCUCAGAUCAGGUAGGAAUACCCGCUGAACUUAAGCAUAUCAAUAAGCGGAGGA